GGACGGAGCAAACGCAAUCACGCCGAGGAACGCGUGAAAGCAGAAGGAAGGGAGGGCAGGAAAACAACUUUCCCACGCGCACUCAAGGGGCAUUCUCACUGUCUCUGGCUCUGUAGGGCCCCGUUUUCUCCCUCCCCCGGUAUGCGGAAGUACCGCAGCUCACUGUGAUUACCUUCAGGGCUCCCCGUCCGCUUUUUCCUCUGCGCUGCGCGUCACCUUGUGGAAAACGUUUUCUUCUUGUUUUCGUCUCCGAUCUAGGCGCGUCGCCUUCGCCGUACCCACCGAUGCCGUCGCGCCCCUCCCUCCACGGCCGCGCCUGCCGUGCGCAUGUGCGAAGCGGACUGCAAACCGUAUGUGCUGCUUGUUCGAAGCCAUUCCACGAAAGCAGCGCGAGAGGUGGCUGUGAGUGUGACACCGUGGUAGUGCGUGCGGAUGGCGGCCGCCUUUUUCCCUUUCCUUCUUUUGGUGUGCUUGCCCAUGAACGGCAUAUCUGCGGAGGGAGGCACGACAACAGAGAAACGUGAGCGGUGGCCGUCGCAGCUCUGCGAUCUAUUGUGCCGCGGCGGCCUCACUGCAUGGAUGAUGCACGCGCCCUGUGCAUGUGCCGCCGUGUGGCGGACGGCUGCACGGCCUCACUCCUCGUCUGUGGCUGACAGGGCCACGGCGGAGCGUACAGACGGUGGCGUAGAGCGGGCGCGUUGCACAGACGCGUCUGCUGAGGGAUGCUUCGCCGCCGGCGGCCGUAGAUGGAUGAGGACGCUGCCAGGGAGACCGGACUUUGGAAGCGGAGGUAAGGAAGCCCUUGUCUCUCCUGUGUCGGUUUUUUGCGGCUGCCCCCGCUGCCGUUGGGACACUAAGGGACGAAAGCCACAAGUGUGUCGUGCGCAGCUGGAGACAGGCAGCUCCGACGGAAUCUGUGUGUCUCGACAUCUGUGCUCGAGGAGGCGGUGCCUGUCGUCGCUGCUUUUGCUGUCCUUGUGCACUUUCUGUGUUUUGCUCCUGCUUCUCUCUCCGUUCCGAGUGACCGUCUCACUGACGCUCACACCCGUCUCCUUUCGUGCGCCGGGUCGCCACAUGGCACGCGAGCGCCAG
rnacentral:misc_RNA from 1 species